CUGAGAGAGAUAUGCAACAACGCAAGUUAUCAUGUGAUAAUAUUUUCUUGUAUUUCGAUCGAUGUUAAUUCUGUUCGGAAGUAACUUGUGUUACUAGUUAAGUGUUAUGAGUGACUAUUGUUGUUGAAUGAUGACUGCCUACCUUGGAUUUUGUUUCAUAUUAAUAUGCUUCACAGGAUUGAAGUAUACUGAAGCUGCUGAAACAUGCUUUCCCACUGUGGACUGUGGUUUUAAUAUCGAUGGUUGCACUUCUUUCUGUGUUGAUAAAUUCUGUGCAGGAUCAGCGAGGUGCGUCGGAAACAACCAGUGUUGUUGUGGUGGCUGUGUUGUAAAGCCGCCUAGAUAUUAAGAACAAAAAUGAUCUUAACCAACUCCUACAUUAUAGACCAUGGGAGUAUGAAAUUAAUAAUGAAUAUAUCUAAUUAGUGCAUAAACGAAAAUACCAAUAACAGAAUGUUAUUAUUAAG